CCGCACUUAAAAUAAUAUUGCGAACUACAUUUUUACACGAGGUAGGAUAUUCUUACUCUUUCUGGAACGUCCAAUACCACUUUGUUGUUGGUUAAUCUGAGACAGAACAUUUGUACAGGAAGCAGAUGAGAAAUCAAGUCUUUCCCAAGCGUGACGUUUCUGUCAUUAUGACGUUAUUAUCCAAAAAGACGGAACCCUUAACACCAAUGCCGGAGCCGAGUAAAAUUUCUCUAAACUUUGUUCAUGGUGAUCAAAUUUGGAAAGAUCACGUUCACCAUGAAACAAGUUCUCAACUUAGAGUAUGGCCUCAGAGAUGGGGGUUUCUUGUUCGCGAAUACGAAUCG